UCAUAGGUGUAAAUGCCAGUCGUGAAGAAAAAGUUCAAAUUUUCUAGCCGUUUCAUGCGGACUCAGGUUUACCAUGGCCCCAAAGUGUAUUGGGGAUUGUGCUGGUUUAUUUGUCCUUGGGAUUGCAUUUGAUAUAAUCGGGUUCGCCUUACUUUUAGUCGGUAUUUUUGCCAAUCUGCGUUUAGAUGGUACAUUUUACGGAGACUUCCUAAUCUAUACUGGCUCAUUAGUGGUUUUUCUCAGUCUCUUCUGGUGGAUCAUGUGGUACACGGUGAAUAUUAAAGUUUCCUCCGAGGAUCUCGAGAAAAGCACUCUAGAUAACUUUGCACACUGGGCGCGGAAGCUCUCCAGGCGACUGUCCAAAAGCGGGAUGAAGACUCUGGAAGUCAAAGAGAAGAGCAUUGGUUACGGCAAGAAAUCAGUGAACGGCGAAGUGACAACUCGUGCGCCAUCGCGGAUAAUUUGGGACAAUUCGGGAACGGCUGGAUGUGUCAAUGAAGCUUACGACCGAAGCUCUGAUCAGCCACCAAAAGAGAAGAUAGUGGAGCUUGAGAUUCUGAAUAACUCUGAGAUGUUACUUCAGAGCAACGCGAAUGGAAAAGCAGAAAGAUUUCUUUGACGAGAAAAGCUGGUACAUUUUGAUUCUCUGUUGUCAAGAGUCUAUGUAAGAUGAGAAGAGCCAGUUAGACUGGAAUGUUUUAAACCAAACCUACAUUUCUGGACUGGCUAAAUGAAGUCAUUAAUCAGGGAAAGGUUUUUUAAUAUAUAAUACAUUUCUAAGGGUACUUUGCACAUGUGGUUAAUGUUUUUGUACUUUUAACUUAUAAUUACUGAAAUAUAACUUUAAGCAUUUCAGAUUUUAUGAAUAUUUUUAUAAAGAGUUUUUAGAAAAUGAUAGUUAAUUUGUUUUGGUAUUAUUGUAUCUUCUUGUAGUCGUUUUGUUUUCUACUGUAUUAGCUUUUAUUACACAAGUAUGCCUAAAUCUCAUUUGAUAGAUAUGUGAUGUAAUUUUGCAUCACAUUUUCACAUGUUGUACAGAUCUGUAAAAUUUAAAGUAGGUUCUUCAUUGUUCAAGAUGUGGUCAUUGAAUGUUCCAAAAGACAUUUUAAAAUGUAGUAGCAUAACUAUAAAGAAAAAUGUAUAUUUCCAAAACACAGUAUUGAAGAACCCACAACCAGUGCUUGAAACUAAUGGAGCUAUCAUAUGCAUUAUUUUACAUCUUCCAUUUUCUUAUGGCUUUUAAUUAGUAUGUAAAAUCACCUUUGUUUCUGUUUUCUAUUCUUUGCCAGUUGGCAGAACUAUUAUUUACCAGUCAUAUGCAGCUGCACUUGAACUGCUAUGUAAACUGUCUGUGAACACAAGCAUUGCUAAUAAUCCUCUGCAGACUUUUAUUGGGAUCAGUCUUUUUACUCUUCAGGAGACAAUACCUGAGCUUGUUUGCAACAUUUCAAGAAACCAGUUAACCUGGAAGUGUCAUACCCUUUUUUCCAUUUUGUAGGUCUCUAAUAACAUGGGACAGGAUUGGUGACCUUAACGUUACCACUAUGACAUGGCAUGUUUACUAAACAGAGCCUUGUUUUAAAUAUUACAACAAAACCCUAAUGAAAAUUGUUAGAAGUUACAGCAUAACUUUUACAUUUUAUGUCCAGAUUUUAAUUGGAUCUAGGUAAACCUGCCAGCCAAGACACACUGUUGCUGUGCAUUACAGAUAUCUGAACCACUAAUACUUGAGUCUUUCAUUAGUGAACAAACAAUAAGGGAGAGUAACAUAACCAUUGGAAACAUGUCAUGAAAAUCUUAUGUUGAAGGUCUGUUGUUGCAUAAAUAAAGUUUACAUUCCUCUGGAAAUAUUCCUGUGAAAUCAAUUUAUUGCCCCUCAAUACUAUAAAACUAAAGCCAGUACUAGCCAUUAUAUACAAAUUAGCAAUUAAGAAAUUGUGUUCCUGAAAUAUUUUUUUUUUAAAUCUCCAUAAUGAACAAAUGCAGCUAUUUUCAGAUCUCAUGUGAGCUCAUACAAUAGCAGUAUUAUCUUCAGCAAUCUUUGAUUUUAAGUUUCUUGCAAGCAUGCGAAAUACAUGAAGAAUUAACACUCAUAUUACCAAUUCAUUAAUGCCAUCAAGAAAUCAGACAACCUGUGCAACCAGCAAAACAGGAUGGCCUUGAUGGCCCACCAGGUCAAGUUCCCAUCAACACCUCAUUUGUCAGUAAGAGAUCUCGGUAUCUAGUUCUAACACCUCCAAUGAUUUAGCACAAUGCCAACAAUGAAUAAAAAAAGAAUAGAACAUGACACUCAAACACGCUGCUGUUUGAGAGGAUAACUUUUUCUCCUUUUUACCCAAGGGACUGUUUUGCCUCAAUCGAAUCUUUAAUUUAUUAUCCUUAUUUAAAUUUUCUUAUUUAUAUAUAAAAUAAAAAAUACAUUAAGAGCACACCACUAUAAAACCACAUCAAACUAUAUGGCUAAUUGAUCAGAACCUCCAAAACAACUUUUAUUCUCAUGUAAAUAAAAAUGCAAGUGUGUGAAAUGGCAAAUAUAUCACCUUUGAGGAAGUUAUUUUGAGCAACAAUUACUGCUGUUCCAACGUCAUUUCAUGUCACACCCUUCUGUUUAAACUCUAGAAACUAAUGCAGUUGGUUUCUUAGAAGUCAACACAAAAAUAAUAGUUUAUCAGUUAAAUGAGUGACAAUGUCCUUAGUUUACAAAUCUGAUCCAAUGAUUGGCAAUUUUGUGCAAACUUAAAAGAAAAUAUAAUAUAUCUAGAAUAAGUUCUUAGUAGUAGAGCCAUGGGUUGUAGCAAACACUCCCAUUAGGGUGUUCUUAAACUUUCCGAGCAGUGUCAACAAAGGAGUGUUUACAAUAGUGAAUUGACUAUUGUCUUAGACUUUGCCCUUUAACUCAUUACUAUUGAUAAUGUAUUGUCCCUACGUUUUUAGCGGUGACAUAAUCAGACAUAGUUGGGGAGCGUCUAUUCCAAUCUGAAACUUCAGAGCUGGUUCUUUAUUUACUUUUCUGUAUUCUCAAUUUCUCCAAACCUACCUUUAUGAUUGAUUGACAGUUGGCUUGGAUGUUGGUGUGCCAUUUAACAGUCUUUUUUUGCUGUCCUCCACUGACUUGUGUUGACAAUGUAAAUUAUGUUUUAUAAAUGUUUUAUACACUCACAGAGCACUUUGAGGAACACCUGUACACCUACUUAUUUAUGCGAUUAUCUAAUCAGCCAAUUGUGGUGCAGCAGUGCAAUGCAUAAAAUCGUGCAGAUAUGGGUCAGGAGCUUCAGUUAAUUUUCACAUCAACCAUCAGAUUGGGGAAAAAAAUUUGAUCUCAGUGAUUUCAACCGUGGAAUGAUUGAUGGUGACAGACACAGGUUUGAUUAUUUCUGUAACUGCUGAUCUCCUGGGAUUUUCAUGCAGAACAGUCUCUAAAGUUUACUCAGAAUGGUGCCAAAAAAAAAAAAAAAAAAACAUCCAGUGAGCGGCAGUUCUGCAGACGGACACACCUUUUUGAUGAGAGGUCAACGGAGAAUGGCCAAAUGGGUUCGAGCUGACAGAAAGGAUAUGGUAACUCAGAUAACCAUUCUGCACAAUUGUAGAGCAGAAUAGCAUCUCAGAAUGCACGUUGAACCUUGAGGCGGAUGGGCUACAACAGUUGGGUUCAACUUCUGUCAUCCAAGAACAGAAAGCUGAGGGUACAGUGGGCAUAAGCUCACCAAAACUGGACAGUUGAAGACUGGAAAAACUUAGCCUGGUCUGAUGAAUCACGAUUUCUGCUUAGGCACACAGACGGUAGGAUAAAAAUUUGGUGCCAACAGAAUGAAUCCAUGGACUCAACCUGCCUUGUGUUAACAGUCCAGGCUAGUGGUGGUGUAAUGGUGCGGGGAAUAUUUUCUUGGCACACACUGGGCCCAUUAAUAUCAUCGUCGCUUGAAUGUCACAGCCUUGAGUAUUGUUGCUGACUAUGUGCAUCCCUUCAUGGCCACAAUUUACCCA